rnacentral:rRNA from 1 species
AUGCACGCUGGCGGCGUGCCUCAUACAUGCAAGUCGCGCGAACAGACGAGGAGCUUGCUCCUCUGACGUUAGCGGCGGGCGGGUGAGUAACACGUGGAUAACCUACCUAUAAGACUGGGAUAACUUCGGGAAACCUGAGCUAAUACCGGAUAAUAUAUUGAACCGCAUGGUUCAAUAGUGAAAGACGGUUUUGCUGUCACUUAUAGAUGGAUCCGCGCCGCAUUAGCUAGUUGGUAAGGUAACGGCUUACCAAGGCAACGAUGCGUAGCCGACCUGAGAGGGUGAUCGGCCACACUGGAACUGAGACACGGUCCAGACUCCUACGGGAGGCAGCAGUAGGGAAUCUUCCGCAAUGGGCGAAAGCCUGACGGAGCAACGCCGCGUGAGUGAUGAAGGUCUUCGGAUCGUAAAACUCUGUUAUUAGGGAAGAACAAAUGUGUAAGUAACUAUGCACGUCUUGACGGUACCUAAUCAGAAAGCCACGGCUAACUACGUG